rnacentral:rRNA from 1 species
CCUACGGGAGGCAGCAGUCGAGAAUCAUUCACAAUGGGGGAAACCCUGAUGGUGCGACGCCGCGUGGGGGAAUGAAGGUCUUCGGAUUGUAAACCCCUGUCAUGUGGGAGCAAAUUAAAAAGCUAGUACCACAAGAGGAAGAGCCGGCUAACUCUGUGCCAGCAGCCGCGGGAAUACAGACGCCUCAAGCGUUGUUCGGAAUCACUGGGCUUAAAGCGUGCGGAGGCUGUUUCGUAAGUUGGGUGUGAAAGGUGCGGGCUCAACCCGCGGAGGGCACCUGAUACUGCGAGACUAGAGUGAUGGAGCGGUAAGCGGAAUGCUCGGUGUAGCAGUGAAAUGCGUAGAUAUCG